UGAGUAACACGUGGGUGAUCUGCCCUGCACUUUGGGAUAAGCCUGGGAAACUGGGUCUAAUACCGGAUAGGACCACGGUCUGCAUGGAUUGUGGUGGAAAGCUUUUGCGGUGUGGGAUGGGCCCGCGGCCUAUCAGCUUGUUGGUGGGGUGAUGGCCUACCAAGGCGACGACGGGUAGCCGGCCUGAGAGGGUGACCGGCCACACUGGGACUGAGAUACGGCCCAGACUCCUACGGGAGGCAGCAGUGGGGAAUAUUGCACAAUGGGCGCAAGCCUGAUGCAGCGACGCCGCGUGAGGGAUGACGGCCUUCGGGUUGUAAACCUCUUUCGGUAGGGACGAAGCGCAAGUGACGGUACCUACAGAAGAAGGACCGGCCAACUACGUGCCAGCAGCCGCGGUAAUACGUAGGGUCCGAGCGUUGUCCGGAAUUACUGGGCGUAAAGAGCUCGUAGGUGGUUUGUCGCGUUGUCCGUGAAAACUCACAGCUCAACUGUGGGCGUGCGGGCGAUACGGGCAGACUGGAGUACUGCAGGGGAGACUGGAAUUCCUGGUGUAGCGGUGGAAUGCGCAGAUAUCAGGAGGAACACCGGUGGCGAAGGCGGGUCUCUGGGCAGUAACUGACGCUGAGGAGCGAAAGCGUGGGGAGCGAACAGGAUUAGAUACCCUGGUAGUCCACGCCGUAAACGGUGGGUACUAGGUGUGGGUUUCCUUCCUUGGGAUCCGUGCCGUAGCUAACGCAUUAAGUACCCCGCCUGGGGGAGUACGGGCCGCAAGGCUAAAACUCAAAGGANUUGACGGGGGGCCCGCACAA
rnacentral:rRNA from 1 species